UCUUUCCUUGUCAUGGGGUGGUUUGGGAAGCUCAAUGAACGGAUAGUGAGAGUCUCCCUGCUGACACCAUGAAACAACACAAACGCACCAACUGGACUGCUAGUCCAGACCCUGGUGCAAUUUUUGGAACC